rnacentral:rRNA from 1 species
ACGCUCGACAACCUACGGGAGGUAGCAGUAGGGAAUCUUCCACAAUGGACGCAAGUCUGAUGGAGCAACGCCGCGUGAGUGAAGAAGGUCUUCGGAUCGUAAAACUCUGUUGUUAGAGAAGAACACGAGUGAGAGUAACUGUUCAUUCGAUGACGGUAUCUAACCAGCAAGUCACGGCUAACUACGUGCCAACAGCCGCGGUAAUCUGAGCGGGCUGGCAAGGC